rnacentral:rRNA from 1 species
GACGAACGCUGGCGGCGUGCCUAAUACAUGCAAGUAGAACGCUGAAGGAGGAGCUUGCUCUUCUGGAUGAGUUGCGAACGGGUGAGUAACGCGUAGGUAACCUGCCUGGUAGCGGGGGAUAACUAUUGGAAACGAUAGCUAAUACCGCAUAAUAGUAGAUGUUGCAUGAUAUUUACUUAAAAGGUGCAAUUGCACCACUACCAGAUGGACCUGCGUUGUAUUAGCUAGUUGGUGGGGUAACGGCUCACCAAGGCGACGAUACAUAGCCGACCUGAGAGGGGGAUCGGCCACACUGGGACUGAGACACGGCCCAGACUCCUACGGGAGGCAGCAGUAGGGAAUCUUCGGCAAUGGACGAAAGUCUGACCGAGCAACGCCGCGUGAGUGAAGAAGGUUUUCGGAUCGGAAAGCUCUGUUGUAAGAGAAGAACGAGUGUGAGAGUGGAAAGUUCACACUGUGACGGUAUCUUACCAGAAAGGGACGGCUAACUACGUG